rnacentral:tRNA from 1 species
CCGCGAAUGGUGUAGUGGAAACAUCCCUCGCUUACAACGAGUAGAUUCCUGGUUCGAUUCCAGGUUCGCGGA